UACUGACCAUGGCGGGCGAGCUUGAGAGCUCGAAAGCUCUGAGUGGGUUGCUGAACGGCCUGGCCCAGGAAGCUUUCUAUGGGCACCAAGGCAUCACGGAGGAGCUGCUGCGGAGCCAGCUCUAUCCCGAGGUGUCACUCGAGGAGUUCCGCCCCUUUCUGGCGAAGAUGAGGGGGAUUCUUAAGUCAAUUGCAUCUGCAGACAUGGAUUUCAACCAGCUGGAGGCAUUCUUGACUGCUCAAACCAAAAAGCAAGGUGGGAUCUCAUCUGACCAAGCCACUGUCAUUUCCAAAUUCUGGAAGAGCCACAAGAUAAAAAUUCGAGAGAGUCUCGUGAACCAGAGCCGUUGGGACAGUGGGCUUCGGGGCCUGAGUUGGAGAGUUGAUGGCAAAUCGCAGUCAAGGCAUUCAGCUCAGAUACAUACCCCUGUUGCCAUAAUGGAGCUGGAAAUAGGGAAAAGUGGACAGGAAUCUGAAUUUCUGUGUUUGGAAUUUGAUGAAGUCAAGGUCAAUCAACUCCUAAAGAAGCUCUCAGAGGUAGAAGAAAGUAUCAGCACACUGAUGCAGCCAGCCUAGCUGAAGAGGGAGUUGUUGAAGCAAAGGUCCCCAAAAUAUCCUGAGGUUUCUGCAUCUGCCAGGAAGUGACUUUUUUUACUCACUUGGCAUUUAUGGCUCUGUAUAUUUUUUGCAACUUCAUGUGAAUCAAGUAUCACUUCAAAAUAAAAAUUUUAAGAAAAAGUAUGUACUUCUGCUCUGCCAAGGGAGCUGUGUGUGGCGAUGACUUGGUCAUUAUAUCUAUCCUCAAGGAGUUUAGUUAGUGGAGCAAACUACCAACAGAAUGAUCUGGAAGAUGAGGAGAUGCUGCUUGCUGCAGAGAUGAGAGAAGACACUGAAGAAUAUCCGGAAAACCCUCACAAAGGUACAAUUGAGGGCUUGUAUGAAUUGAAGAGCUAUGCUUCUACCACGAGAAUUCCAUUCUCAGGCCAAUCCCUGACAAGGUUGUCACUUCUGCCUUCUCAGAUCUUCAGGGACCACAGCUGAAGCCAUUUGGGACAGAGAUGGAUGCACCCUGAUUAAGGCUAAUAUUCCUAGCUGACAGCUUUUCUUUGCAGCUCAGAAUUCUUAGAGAUACCUUAUCUCCCACCAAGUCAUUCAAAAUGUAGCUACUGACUUCCUUUAUAAAAGAUAGGAAGAAUGGUUUUAAAACAGGAAGGGAAGCCUAGAACAUUUGUUGGGGUUACUAAUAAUGAAAACAUUUCAAAAAGUUCCCAUAGACCUUUAACAAACCUCCUCAACUCUACCGAACAUUAACACUGCUUUGGGGUUCUAACACUCGUUUAAUGUUUAUUUUAAAUCUUUUUGAUUGAACACAUUCUUUUAGUUUAUAAAGAGAAAUAGUACAAAGAGGUACACAGAUGGAAAAUCUUGUUCUUGCAUCUACCCUUUCUUUAUUUCUUUCCUUUUCUUUUUUUCUUUUUUGAAGAUCUAAUUGACUUUGUUAAGUGAAUUCAUGAAUUGGGCAGCAUCCCGUCUAGCCAGUAGACGGAGCCCACCUCCUCUGCCCUUUCCAGCCCAUUACUCUCAUACCUCACAAACACUUACAGGGGACCAUCUGUGUUUUUCUUUAAGCAAACAUAAACAAAAUAUUUUCAUACCUCCACUUUUCUCCUUCUUCCUGUCCCCCCAGAACCAGCAUCCUAUGCAUACUUUUCUGGACUUUGCAUUUAUCACUUAACAAUGUAGCUUAGAAAGAUUUCCAAAUCAGAACAUAGUAAUGCUUUAAAAAAAAAAAAAAAAAAGGAAGACGAAGAACUUCAGCCCCCUGCCCUCCAGCAUCACCUGAGAUAUUGCUCAUGUUCCCUCUUUCCUGUCUAACCUCAAUUGUUUGAAUCCCAAAUUCCCCAAGCGUAGUAUGUUCUCUGUGCUAACAAGCUCAGGGCUUACACAGACCCCAGGCUGUGUGACUGGAGCAAAGCCACAAACCCCCUGUGCCAUCAAGACCACAGGGACACAUUCAGGAGCAACAGCAACAGGGUGAUGAUUGCCUUAGCAUGAGCGGCACCCCAAAGAGAUCACUCUGGGCCAAGGAGGAGAGAUGAUCUGGAACUAGGCUUUGUUGCCAAGCAACCCCGGAGGGGAUGAAAUUAACUCAGUCUGUUUUUCAUGUAACUGCAUCUCAAAUGAAAGCUGAGGCCAGAGUUGAUCCCAUGCAAAAUUAAUAAUCACCACAUGAUUCUUUCUUUCAAGUGGCUGUUGCCGAAAGACAGGGAACUAAAGAAACCAGUAUACCCCUCUUUAAAGGGGUAAGGGCAGGGAAGAAAGAGAACAAAUACAUACAGAUCCCAUGUUUUUCCAUUUGAGUCUUAGGUAGGAAAUCAAGCCUUUCUCUCUUAGACUGCUGUUGACUCUCCCUAGUAGGAAACCUGCUUUAAAACCAGAUCCCAAGUAGACGAGAUAAUAUGUACCAAAGAGCCAAGGGAGGAUAUAUUUCCUAGAAGUGAGAGAAAGCUUGGAUCACAUGAGACCCUUUUAGUCUCCUUUUUUAGAAAAUUUAAAAUGCACUUUUCCCCAUUAGUAUGUUCAGGGAAGAUAAAUUAUCAUAAAAAUAAAAAUAGCCCUUCCACCUACUCUCCUUAACCCAGCACUAAUGGCUGAAAGAGGAGCCCAGCUUGAUAUGCUCACUAACUCUUUCUCUUCAAGGGCUUAAUCAAAUUUAAAAGGCAAAAAUGACAGAGAAGAGUGGAUUCCCCCAUCCACUGCCCCCUACUUCUGCUGCAUUCAUUUGGGUGAAUUACCUGUGUGGUCAGGGAGGAGCCGUGGCCUUCUCCCCAAAAGAAUCUUUGAUUAUUAUUUUGUAGUUGUGCCAUAAAAUGUAAUUAAAAAUAAAGCUUUUUUUAGCCAAGGAAACUAGUUUUAUCUGAGAAGGAAAGCUUUCUUGCCCAGCAGAAGGUGAGACUUUGUGGUGGGCAAAGUAGCGACCAGUGGUCUUCCUCACUUAGCACUUACGCAAUGUAUUUGCUGGUGUUGGGACAGGAUAUUCCCUUGUUCCCUUCUGCCACUCCACCAUGUUCAUCGUAUACUAGGCCAGUUUGAGCAAGCCUCCUCCUCUGUGAAGCAACGAGUACCCACCGACAGAGUAGGGCAGAAUGUGCUGGUACGUAGAGAAAACCAGAGAGCAAAAUGUACACAGUGGGUUUCUGGAAACUCUGUCAGUGAGGGUCUCAGCAGGAAACAGAUGCUAUAUUCACAUUGGAUGCUUUGAGUAACUUUUAAUAAAGGGGUUAUUUAGAAUGGUUGGUGGGGAAACCACAAAGGACAGGUAUUACCUGGGGCUGAUCACGCUGGGUUGGGAGUCACUCCCAUGCUUCAGCCUGCAGAGUGAGAGAAUUGGCAGGCAGAGGGAUGGAAUAGAGUGGGCCACCUUACAGUGUAGCUGUCAGUCGGGGGAAGGAGAGCCCUACAUCAGUUGCCUCCUUCCCUCUGAUUUCCGGCAAGGGCUCACCAUUUGGCUGAAACCCACUGGAAGUCAGAGGAUCAAGAAAUCCUUGAAUGUAGAAAUGUAACACACAGAAAACAGGAAAUGCUAAACCUAGCUUCAUCUGCCUGGCUUCUGGCUAUUCAUUCAUUCAACCAGCACUUACCGAUCACCAGCUCUGUGCAGGUGCCGAACUAGGAGACGCAGCACUAAGCAAGGCAGCCCUCAUGGAGCGGACAGUCCCUCUGGCCACGUCAGGCCUAGGCAAAGCUGCAAAGUACAUCCAGACUGAACAUUCAAGAUCCCAAGCCCUCCAAUGUGUACCAUGGUUAUUGCCUGACUUUUCUUAUCUCGCUUCCCUCUUGGUCAGGAAUAAAGAUUUUCUUAUUCUA